rnacentral:piRNA from 1 species
UAGGAUGGCAGAGUCUUGGUGUCCUAGCAGC